UACGUAGGUGGCAAGCGUUGUCCGGAAUUACUGGGUGUAAAGCGCGUGUAGGCGGCAGACCAAGUCGGCGGUGAAAGCGCCCGGCUCAACUGGGCGAGGUCCGUGGAAACUGGUCAGCUGGAGGACGGUAGAGGCGAGUGGAAUUCCCGGUGUAGUGGUGAAAUGCGUAGAGAUCGGGAGGAACACCUGUGGUGUAGACGGCUUUCUGGACCAUAGCUGACGCUGAGACACGAAAGCGUGGGUAGCAAACAGG
rnacentral:rRNA from 1 species